UAUGAUUGGUCAGUAAUUCACUGUAACUGUAUGCCUGUGCAGCUUAUAAUCAAGUUAUAACUGGGAAAGGCCUGGGAAAUCAUCUGGCCCAACCCUCUGUGUUUACAAAUAAGGACCUAAGGACACCCUUCCCAAGGUCAUGUGUGCUCUAAGCAUGGAACAAGUCUUCCUAUUGGAAUACACAUCUCUGUCUGGGAGACUUGGGAACACACAAAGACAAAGCAGACAUUCGGCUUGAUUUACUCAGGUGGAGGGGAGACACCAAGAACGUGCCAGACACAUUUCGUUCAGCGGCAAGCUGAUCACCUCUUCACCGCUAACGCCCCUCAGUGAAGAACAACCGGAAGAAUUUUCUUUUUUUUUUUUAAUUUUUUUUCAACGUUUUUAUUUAUUUUUGAGAGAGAGAAAGAGAAA
rnacentral:lncRNA from 1 species